AGGGUUAGAAACUCUAACGAAUAUCGGCAGAAACGCCGAUAGUCUCACAAGGACGUUAGGGUCAGGUAAUGCACGGUUGUCGUCAGCUCGUGGCGUGAGCUGUACUCUUAAGUGAGCAAACGAGCGCAACCCCCAUUCUGCGUUACAAGUGUCGCAGAAAACUGCCUCGGACAACGGGGAGGAAGGUGGGGAUGACGUCAAAUCAGCGUGUUCCUCUGAUACCCUGGGCUACACACGUGCUACAAUGGCCGGUACAAUGGGUCGCCAACCCGCAAGGGGGAGCUAAUCCCAUCAAAGCCGGCCCCAGUUCGGAUUGAGGGCUGCAACCCGCCCUCAUGAAGCCGGAAUCGCUAGUAAUCGCGCAUCAGCCAUGGCGCGGUGAAUACGUUCUCGAGUUUUGUACUCAGAAAUAAAGGCGCCUGGCAGCUAUUGAAUCUAAGUUGUUAAAAUCAACUCCUCC
rnacentral:rRNA from 1 species